rnacentral:rRNA from 1 species
AUUGAACGCUGGCGGCAUGCCUUACACAUGCAAGUCGAACGGCAGCACGGACUUCGGUCUGGUGGCGAGUGGCGAACGGGUGAGUAAAGUAUCGGAACGUACCUUUCAGUGGGGGAUAACGUAGCGAAAGUUACGCUAAUACCGCAUAUUCUGUGAGCAGGAAAGCAGGGGAUCGCAAGACCUUGCGCUGAUUGAGCGGCCGAUAUCAGAUUAGCUAGUUGGUGGGGUAAAGGCCUACCAAGGCGACGAUCUGUAGCGGGUCUGAGAGGAUGAUCCGCCACACUGGAACUGAGACACGGUCCAGACUACUACGGGAGGCAGCAGUGGGGAAUUGUGGACAAUGGGGGCAACCCUGAUCCAGCCAGGCCGCGUGAGUGAAGAAGGCCUGCGGGUUGUAAAGCACUUUUGUUCAGGAAGAAAUCAUGCUGGCUAAUACCUGGUAUGGAUGACGGUACCGAAAGAAUAAGCACCGGCUAACUUCCUGCCAGCAGCCGCAGUAACAC